GGUUGGGCAAACUUCGGUUUGUUUUCAAGUACUUUUGUUUCCGGGGGGGGAAGCU
rnacentral:ncRNA from 12 species